CGCGGUGCGCAGCUAUACAUGCAGUCGACGCUUCUUUUUCCACCGGAGCUUGCUCCACCGGAAAAAGAGGAGUGGCGAACGGGUGAGUAACACGUGGGUAACCUGCCCAUCAGAAGGGGAUAACACUUGGAAACAGGUGCUAAUACCGUAUAACAAUCGAAACCGCAUGGUUUUGAUUUGAAAGGCGCUUUCGGGUGUCGCUGAUGGAUGGACCCGCGGUGCAUUAGCUAGUUGGUGAGGUAACGGCUCACCAAGGCGACGAUGCAUAGCCGACCUGAGAGGGUGAUCGGCCACAUUGGGACUGAGACACGGCCCAAACUCCUACGGGAGGCAGCAGUAGGGAAUCUUCGGCAAUGGACGAAAGUCUGACCGAGCAACGCCGCGUGAGUGAAGAAGGUUUUCGGAUCGUAAAACUCCUGUGUUAGAAGAAGAACAAGGAUGAGAGUAACUGUUCAUCCCUUGACGGUAUCUAACCAGAAAGCCACGGCUAACUACGUGCCAGCAGCCGCGGUAAUACGUAGGUGGCAAGCGUUGUCCGGAUUUAUUGGGCGUAAAGCGAGCGCAGGCGGUUUCUUAAGUCUGAUGUGAAAGCCCCCGGCUCAACCGGGGAGGGUCAUUGGAAACUGGGAGACUUGAGUGCAGAAGAGGAGAGUGGAAUUCCAUGUGUAGCGGUGAAAUGCGUAGAUAUAUGGAGGAACACCAGUGGCGAAGGCGGCUCUCUGGUCUGUAACUGACGCUGAGGCUCGAAAGCGUGGGGAGCAAACAGGAUUAGAUACCCUGGUAGUCCACGCCGUAAACGAUGAGUGCUAAGUGUUGGAGGGUUUCCGCCCUUCAGUGCUGCAGCUAACGCAUUAAGCACUCCGCCUGGGGAGUACGACCGCAAGGUUGAAACUCAAAGGAAUUGACGGGGGCCCGCACAAGCGGUGGAGCAUGUGGUUUAAUUCGAAGCAACGCGAAGAACCUUACCAGGUCUUGACAUCCUUUGACCACUCUAGAGAUAGAGCUUCCCCUUCGGGGGCAAAGUGACAGGGUGGUGCAUGGUUGUCGUCAGCUCGUGUCGUGAGAUGUUGGGUUAAGUCCCGCAACGAGCGCAACCCUUAUUGUUAGUUGCCAUCAUUUAGUUGGGCACUCUAGCAAGACUGCCGGUGACAAACCGGAGGAAGGUGGGGAUGACGUCAAAUCAUCAUGCCCCUUAUGACCUGGGCUACACACGUGCUACAAUGGGAAGUACAACGAGUCGCAAAGUCGCGAGGCUAAGCUAAUCUCUUAAAGCUUCUCUCAGUUCGGAUUGUAGGCUGCAACUCGCCUACAUGAAGCCGGAAUCGCUAGUAAUCGCGGAUCAGCACGCCGCGGUGAAUACGUUCCCGGGCCUUGUACACACCGCCCGUCACACCACGAGAGUUUGUAACACCCGAAGUCGGUGAGGUAACCUUUGGAGCCAGCCGCCUAAGUGCAUAAGGU
rnacentral:rRNA from 1 species